AGUGAACGCUGGCGGUAGGCCUAACACAUGCAAGUCGAACGGCAGCACCGUAAGAGCUUGCUCUUACGGGUGGCGAGUGGCGGACGGGUGAGGAAUACAUCGGAAUCUACUUUUUCGUGGGGGAUAACGUAGGGAAACUUACGCUAAUACCGCAUACGACCUACGGGUGAAAGCAGGGGAUCUUCGGACCUUGCGCGAUUGAAUGAGCCGAUGUCGGAUUAGCUAGUUGGCGGGGUAAAGGCCCACCAAGGCGACGAUCCGUAGCUGGUCUGAGAGGAUGAUCAGCCACACUGGAACUGAGACACGGUCCAGACUCCUACGGGAGGCAGCAGUGGGGAAUGUUGGACAAUGGGCGCAAGCCUGAUCCAGCCAUAGCGCGUGGGUGAAGAAGGCGUUCGGGUUGUAAAGCCCUUUUGUUGGGAAAGAAAAGCAGCAGGUUAAUACCCCGCUGUUCUGACGGUACCCAAAGAAUAAGCACCGGCUAACUUCGUG
rnacentral:rRNA from 1 species